rnacentral:antisense_RNA from 1 species
CUUCAGGGAGCCGAGCAGCAGCGGACUCGUCCGGUCCUGCCCGUAGGUUGCCAGCAGCGCCUGCGCCUC